UCCAUUUUAUUCUUUGAAGGCUAACAAGAAAGAAUUGCGAGUAGAAAAGUUAAAGGACAAAGAGGAAGUAGAGGACUUAACUCAGGAAAUGGCUGAGCUACGGUAUCGAACUCACAUCCCUAGACCUCAAGCUUCAUCUCUCCAACUCAAUUGGCAGGAAUGGACCUUUGGUGGAUGGAUGGAAGUGGUCAAGGCCUAAUGGAGGGCAUGCAGGACUAACAUCAGCACUGAAGACAUAAAAGAUUUAAACAAAACAAGAAAGGGAUUUCGAUGCUGAGCAAUCUGCAAGGGUGAUUGAUGCAUACUGUAUGCUUAGCAAGCCUUUGACUACUGAUUAUAUUGUUGUUAUCUUCUUUUGUGGAAUUAUUUGCUGAAGAUUGGUAAUGAAUUGUUUGAUUACACUUAAUGAUGACCAGUUAAUUUUUUUUGUUUUAUUGAGUAAUAAUUUUUUCUUUUUUUUUUAACUGUAAUAAAUGUUUGAUAUCUAUAUUUUAAAGCAAAUGUCACUGCCCCUUAUAUUUUACCCAAUGUUUUGCAGAUUUUUCAUGUUUGGUAGACAGAGUAAUAGAAAAGAAUUGGGUUGCUUUGGUUUCAUCCGGUGAUAAAUUAGAUCUUCUUGCGGAGGGAGAAAACAUUCAGUCAAGGCAGAAGAAGAAGGGGCAGUAGUUAGAAUUUGGCCGGUCUUCUUGCGGAAGGGAAACGGAUCGGCCAAGGCGGAAGAAGAAGGGGAGGUAGUUGGAAGUUGGCUGGUGACUCUUCAAAGAUACAUUCCAAUCAAAGAGAUUCCAAUUUAAUAUGAUGGUCUCAAGAGGGAAGAUGACACCGUUCUCUUUUGAAGAUGAUGCUGUUUCAGAAUCCACACUCCCUAUGCAUCAACUCCAACUUUUGAGAUUUCUACAUUGGAGGUACCUACUACUACUAUUACACUUACUAAAUUGAGACAUUGGAAAAUUAAUCUAUUACAUGAAAUUUUUUAAUUAGUUUCCAGUGGUUUUGAAGGUGUGUUUUAUGCAAAAAGAAUUUAAAAUGACUUAUAAGAACUCCUUCAAUUGUUGUGCAUUUAUUUGACUUUUGAGUUCUUUUAAUAGUCUAAGUUGUCAAAGAAAAUUGUUCUAUAAUAGCGUUUUUCUUAUAGUGACUACUAAUUUUAUUAUUGUUGUCAUUUUUUUUUGUCGGAUUGUUUCCUUCAAAGUCAAAGCUCCAUGCCUCCUUGCAUUCUUUCUUUUUUCAGGGGAUGACGAUAAGAUUAAGCCUACAUAUAAAGAUGUAAAUGUAGUUGUGUUUAUAGAGUUUGUUUAAGGAUUCGAUGGACAAAUUUGAAAAUAUUAAAACUCAAAGCUCAUUUAAAAGGGCUGUUUUCUUGCUAUGUUUUCGAAUCAAAUAUAUCAUUGAUUUUUUC